rnacentral:rRNA from 1 species
UGCAAGUCGAGGGGUAGAGUUUCUUCGGAGACUUGAGACCGGCGCACGGGUGUGUAACGCGUAUGCAAUCUGCCCUUUACUGGGGAAUAGCCCGGAGAAAUUCGGAUUAAUGCCCCAUAUGCCCGUAGAAUCACCUGGUUCAGCGGGGAAAGUUCCGACGGUAAAGGAUGAGCAUGCGUCCCAUUAGCUAGUUGGUGAGGUAACGGCUCACCAAGGCGACGAUGGGUAGGGGGCCUGAGAGGGUGAUCCCCCACACUGGUACUGAGACACGGACCAGACUCCUACGGGAGGCAGCAGUGAGGAAUAUUGGGCAAUGGAGGCAACUCUGACCCAGCCAUGCCGCGUGCAGGAAGACGGCCCUCUGGGUUGUAAACUGCUUUUGUUUGGGAAUAAACCCUUCUACGUGUAGAAGGCUGAAGGUACCUUACGAAUAAGCAUCGGCUAACUCCGUGCCAGCAGCCGCGGUAAUACGGAGGAUGCAAGCGUUAUCCGGAUUUAUUGGGUUUAAAGGGUCCGUAGGCGGGUCUUUAAGUCAGUGGUGAAAGCCCACAGCUCAACUGUGGAACUGCCAUUGAUACUGGAGAUCUUGAGUGUAGUAGAAGUAGGCGGAAUAGGGCAUGUAGCGGUGAAAUGCAUAGAUAUGCCCUAGAACACCGAUUGCGAAGGCAGCUUACUAUGUUACAACUGACGCUGAGGGGCG